rnacentral:rRNA from 1 species
UGGGGAAUCUUGGACAAUGGGGGCAACCCUGAUCCAGCGACGCCGUGUGGGUGGUAAGGCCUUCGGGUUGUAAAGCCCUUUCACCGGGGAAGAUGAUGACAUUACCCGGAGAAGAAGCGCCGGCUAACUCCGUGCCAGCAGCCGCGGUAAGACGGAGGGCGCUAGCGUUGUUCGGAAUCACUGGGCGUAAAGGGCGCGUAGGCGGCUGUUUAAGUCGAGGGUGAAAGCCCGGGGCUCAACCCCGGAACGGCCUUCGAGACUGGGCAGCUCGAGACCGGAAGAGGAGGGUGGAAUACCCAGUGUAGAGGUGAAAUUCGUAGAUAUUGGGAAGAACACCCGUGGCGAAGGCGGCUCUCUGGCCCGGUUCUGACGCUGAGGUGCGACAGCGUGGGGAGCAGACAGGAUUAGAUACCCGUGUAGUCC